UCUGCCAGUUUACCACCGCCAGUUUACCUCUGCCAGUUUACCUCCGCCGGUUUACCUCUGCCAGUUUACCUCUGGACAGUUUACCACCGCCUGUUUACCUCUGGACGGUUUACCUCCAGAGCAGGACAAAAAUGUUAUUAGGAAAUGCAGCGUAUCUUCUAAAAAAAGUUAGUUCCAAGCUUUUAAUUUUGCAAAAUAAAACAAUUCAUUUGGGAUUUUAAGAAACAAAACCUUUAUAAUGAAGUAAUUCAAGUUCAUUUUAAGGAAUCCUUCCUUCAAGGAAUCCGGGAUGCUAAGCUUUGCUCAAAAUAAGGCCGCUUUUUACAAACGCUGGACAUUGUGUGGACAUUGACAAUAAAUUCUAGACAAUUUGUAUAGAUUGUCCCCAAUUGCUGUUGAACCAUGAUCGGUGACAUCUGCCCCUAGAAACUACUCUUGCAGCAGCAACAAAAGCAACAUCUUCUUAUUCCACAGAGUACAACUGCGCGCGGCGAUUAGUUGUGAAAGUCCAGGCUUGUAGCUCCAAAUGUCACGCUGCCGCUAAAUGACUACACUUGCACACUUAGUUGGCUGAGACAGGGACUACUGCUGCCGCUGAGGCUUAUACAGUCGACACAUGCAGAUGAGGUACGUAACUAGACAGAAGGUCGAUUUCGAAGCAAUCUGUUCAGAGAAUAUAGCACAUAAAUGACGGGAGUUGGAUAUCAUUGGCAAGUCUUCUUCAAAAAUAAAUUAUAAUUAAUUUAAAUAAAGAAUAAUAGCAUCCUUUUUGAAUGUCCUACUUUAUAAUUCCAGGUAAUUUUAGUAAACUUAAAGACUGGCAAAAUAGAAGCCGAAUUCCAUGAAUUCAUAAAGUCAACUCCUGUGACUGCGCAAUCCGGAAACCUUGACCUACGCAAUUGGGAUUUUGGAAUUUGGCUCCAAAAAGAAUAUCAAAGUAAAUGACCUUAGAAGCCAAGAUUUUGUAUUCAUGACUGACUUACGAGCUCUAUUCCAGUAAUUCUAUAAUUAUAAUAGAAUCAAUAAUUGACCAGAAGGCUCAUGAUGGCAGGCGCAGGACUACUUCAAACAACAAAUCAAAAGGAAACUUCGAGGUCGAUUUGACUCAGCCGUUUAGUUGAUUCCACGACAUAGUUCGUCGUAGCGAAAGUAGUUAUUAUAUAAUGUUGUAAUUUUGUUUUUCAAAUUUGUAUGUAAUUUAGCUUAGUUAGUUUUUAAAAUUCAAUGGCAUUAUUUAAAGAUUAUAGACGUUAACAUUUAUUUAAGUUAUUGAGUAAUUAGAACAAAUAAAAACAAAUGUAAUUUUUUCAC